rnacentral:miRNA from 1 species
CGACCCCACAUAUAGCAACACUUC